GAAGCUGAAGAAAAGCAAGAAGCAGGAAGACUGUCCGAACCACGUUUACGAUCCAUGUUUGCUGUUCUAUAUCAAGCACCUCCAACCGAAGUAUUGCUACUUCAGUCAUGAAUGUAGCACACAGCUCAAUACAUAGCCAGGGCCUAACAGCGGAAGUUUGUUUGGUGCUACUCAACAUGUAGAUGAUAAAGAUUGAAGUGAAGUAAAU
rnacentral:misc_RNA from 1 species